GAUGAACGCUGGCGGCGUGCCUAAUACGUGCAAGUCGAGCGAACAGACGAGAGUGCUUGCACUCUCUGACGUUAGCGGCGGACGGGUGAGUAACACGUGGGUAACCUACCUAUAAGACUGGGAUAACUUCGGGAAACCGGAGCUAAUACCGGAUAAUAUUUAGCUUCGCAUGAAGCAAUAGUGAAAGACGGUUCUGCUGUCACUUAUAGAUGGACCCGCGGUGUAUUAGCUAGUUGGUGAGGUAACGGCUCACCAAGGCAACGAUACAUAGCCGACCUGAGAGGGUGAUCGGCCACAAUGGGACUGAGACACGGCCCAGACUCCUACGGGAGGCAGCAGUAGGGAAUCUUCCGCAAUGGACGAAAGUCUGACGGAGCAAUGCCGCGUGAGUGAAGAAGGUUUUCGGAUCGUAAAACUCUGUUGUAAGGGAAGAACAAGUACGUUAGUAACUGAACGUACCUUGACGGUACCUUACCAGAAAGCCACGGCUAACUACGUG
rnacentral:rRNA from 1 species